UCAAGAUACAGAAUCAACCUAAGUGUCCAUCAACAGGUAAAUGGAUAAAGAAAUGUGUCCUGGCUGGGCGCGGUGGCUCACAUCUGUAAUCCCAGCACUUUGGGAGGCAGAGGCAGGUGGAUUGCUUGAGGUCAGGAGUUUGAGACCAGCUUGGCCAACAUGGUGGAACCCCGUCUCUACUAAAAAUACAAAAAUUAGCCAGGAGUGGUGGUGGGUGCCUGUAAUCCCAGCUACUUGGGGGGUUGAGGCAGGAGAAUCACUUCAACCCAGGAGGCUGAGGUUGCAGUGAGCCAAGAUUGAGACACUGCACUCCAGCCUGGGUGACAGAGUGAGAUUCCAUCUCAAAAAAAAAAAAAAAAAAAGAAAAAGAAAAAGAAAGAAAGAAAGGUGUCCUAUAUACCCAAUGAAAUAUUAUUAAGCCUUAAAAAAGAAGGAAAUCUAGUCAUUUGCCAAAACAUGGAUGAAACUGGAGGACACUAUGUUAAGUGAAAUAAACCAGGCAUAGAAAGCAAAUACCGCAUGAUCUCACUUUUACAUGGAAUUUGAAAAAUUUGAGAACAUAGAAGCAGAGAGUAGAAUUGUGGUUACUAGGGACUGGUGAGAGGGAUAUGGGGAGAUGUUGGUCAGAGCAUACAACAUUUCAGUUAGACAGGAGGAAUAAACUCAGGAGAUCUAUUGUGGGUAAUGGUAACUAUGAUUAAAAACAAUGUACUGCCUACUUGAAAAUUACUGAGAGCAGAUUUUAAAUGUUCUUGCUACAAAAAAACAAUAUGAGGUAAAGGAUAUGUUAAUUAUCUUGAUUUAGUCAUUUCAAAGUGUAUACAUAUAUUAAAAAUCAUGUUGUAAACUGUAAGUAUAUACAAUAUUAUUUCUCAAUUGAAAAAUAAAAUUAAAUAACAAAGACUGCAUAAAAAGUAGAGCAUUAUAUAACAGAUAGCUAAAGCACAGACAGUAAAAUAAUAUUCUUAUCUAUUGAAUAAUCCAUGAGGAUUAACUGAGUGUUUGGUAUAUGUUUAGAGUCCUUAGGAUGUUUAUACAUAAAAUAUGUCCACAAAUACGAAGUUGGUCUUACAGAACUGGGGAUAGUACCUCUGAUAUCGUUUGAGUGAAUUGCUAGUUACAUACCACCAAAAGCUGUAAGUAAAUGGAUUUUCUUGGCUCUGUUCUCUCCCACCCACAACCUUUUUUGGAGGAACAUUCAUUAACUGUAUCAAGAAUUUCAAGUUGAGGGAGCCACAUGUCUUAAAUUUUUCUUUACAUCCUUAACUGACAAAGUUAAUAUAUUCAGAUCAUAAAGCCAAGUUGGGUUUAGGUUCAGUGAUUCAGUGAGUUAUGAAUUACUGACACCCAGCUUUGUUUUGGUCCACUGGGAAAUUUUCUGUCAAAAAUGUCCACUUCAAGACUCUAGGACAAAGAUUAGUCAACAAAUUUAGAGUACUUAUUAUGAGUACUUAUUAAUAAAUACUUACUGAGUGUCUACAAAGAACUUAAAAUGGUUUAGCUGAGGCAAUUAUUGCAAUAACCUGGUGAAGUAGAUUCUCUUAUUUUCCCUUCCCAAUUUUACUGAGGAGGAAACUGAAGCUCAAAGAGAAUCUCUCAUGCAAGCAACGUCAUACAACUAAUAAGCAGCAGCAGAGGAAAUUUUGAGGACUGUCUGCUCCCUAACUCCUCCCUGCAUCAGAUCUCCCUUCAGCACCCUGGGCUCCUCUCCAGUUCCCUGGCCUCUCUUCUGGGACAUAGAACUCAUUCCUGUGGAUGUGUAAGAACGCUGAUGCCUUAUUCCUCCAUGGCCAGGGAAUAUGUUCAUGAUACAGGAAGAGGACAAGAAAAUGAGCAUUCAUGUGGAAAUAUUAGACAUCUCUCUAGGUGGGUAUUUCAGUACAGGGUCUACCCAUCCCCCUUCAAAUCUGCCCUGUAAGUGACUGCAGAAGUUGAAACUUCCAACACUUGAGGCUCCAUCUUAGAGGCAUCAUUCCUCAUUUGGAAACAUCAUUGCCAGAGGCAGAAAUGGCCCAGCAAGUAAACUUUUUUUGGGGGGGUAUAUAAAAUCAAUUAUUAAAUAAAAUAUUGCAGAAGACUGUAGUUAUAUAGGAAAACUUUUUGAAUUUACUUAACAAUGAGAUAUGAAAGGGAAGAAUUCAAUUCUACCCCCGUGGAACUGACAAUAGGAAAAAUGUUCUCCCUUUCAGACUUGAGAAGGUUUUACUGCUAAGAUCUGCGGAUGGAAUAAUCAGGCUGAAUACAAACAUGCUUUUCUUCUCCGAUAGUGCUUAGGAAGCAGUGGUACUUGCACAACUGUUUGUAAGGGGGAGUGAAGUGAGUUGUCAUCUCAUAGUAAUCUGCCUCUCUCUAUCAUCGGCACAGUUCCUAUUUUUUAUUCCCCUCCGGCUUGCUUAGAUUUUCUUUUGGUUUAUUCUCCUGAAAAGUCUUAGAGAGCAUGAGCUAAUAUCAACUAAAUCGUAAAUAUUUAAAGGCAGGCACAAUAUCUGGUAGUUACUGGGUUAUGACCAUGUAAUGCUUGGUGUGAAACCUGAAUUGUUUUUACUUUGUAUUAGGAAUUAAUACCUAUUACUAAACCUGUAUAAAUAAUAAAGUGGCUGGGAAAAAGACAUAAAAUGAGAAAUUGCUACCAUAGAAACUACCAAUGUUUCCACACUGUCACUGUGGUAUAAAAGAGCUCCGUUUUUAAUAAUUUACCAUUAAAAAUGAAUUUUCUCCAAAAGACCACUUCUAUAGUAAUAUCUCAAUUCCCCAAGAUUAUCUAUCAGAGAUAAAAACCAAAGCUGCCUAAUAUCCACAGUCUAGGGAAGAAUUCAAUUAGCAAAUUCAUGUGUGAGGCUCUGCUUGCACUAGAAAUUCUAGUUUAGGUGAGAAUUUUGGUACUGAUUAUGAUUUUUAGUAGCAUCUAUGUCCCUCAUGAAUCUUAACAUUUCAAGCCAGAUUUAUUUUUAUGUGUUAAUAUUCAAGUACAAGAUCUUACAUAAAUAACUAUACAAGCAAGACUGGAUGUGAAAACAGACAUACAAUAAAUGCACUUGUCAUUUUCUAU
rnacentral:lncRNA from 1 species